rfam:Prunus persica cultivar Lovell chromosome G3, whole genome shotgun sequence.
UGAUGAUGUUGAUGUUGGCGUGGCUCAAUCAAAUCAAACUUCUCAACUGUUUAUUGGGUCCUUUAAUUUGAUUGAGCCGUGCCAAUAUCAUUAUCAGUCUC